CAGCACCUCAAGUGGUCAGGAUGAUUAUUGGGCCUAAAGCAUCCGUAGCCGGCGCUGUAAGUUUUCGGUUAAAUCUGUACGCUCAACGUACAGGCUGCCGGGAAUACUGCAGCGCUAGGGAGUGGGAGAGGUAGACGGUACUCGGUAGGGAGGGGUAAAAUCCUUUGAUCUAUUGAUGACCACCUGUGGCGAAGGCGGUCUACCAGAACACGUCCGACGGUGAGGGAUGAAAGCUGGGGGAGCAAACCGGAUUAGAUACCCGUGUAGUCC
rnacentral:rRNA from 1 species